UAAUACGUAGGUGGCAAGCGUUGUCCGGAAUCAUUGGGCGUAAAGGGCGCGUAGGCGGUUAUUUAAGUCAGUUGUGAAAACUUUGGGCUUAACCCAGAGAUUGCAGUUGAUACUGGGUAACUUGAGUGCAGGAGAGGACAGUGGAAUUCCUAGUGUAGCGGUGAAAUGCGUAGAUAUUAGGAGGAACACCAGUGGCGAAGGCGGCUGUCUGGACUGUAACUGACGCUGAGGCGCGAAAGCGUGGGGAGCAAACAGG
rnacentral:rRNA from 1 species